UUUUGGUGGGAAGACCAGCCCGGAGCAGCAAACUCAAGUCAUGGGCGAACGAAUGUUUGAAAUGCCAGUUUGCGGAUACGUGUACGUGAGUUUCGAAGGAUGCGGCGCAGGUAACCCAGUGAUCGAGAAGCACUGGCACAGAUGGUGUUAAUGUGAGAAUUU
rnacentral:lncRNA from 1 species